UUCGUUUUUAAAAUCGCGGUAGCGAUCGAAAGAAGGUCGAUCUGUUCGGAUUUCAUAGCCGUGAAAAAAUUUGGAACACCUGCACUAGAUAAGGAGUCUUGCUUUAUUUUUAAAUGCUAUUGCCACGAUAAGCAUAAAUGUUAGAAAUAAAAUAAAAGUGUAAUAAUUACAUAAUAGCAGCUUAAAUUAAUUUUAUGAAAUAAAUUAUGACAAGGCCUUAGACAAGAAUGCCUGCACAUGAGCCAUGUGGUUGUCAUUUCGAGAAAGUUAUAGCGGGGGAGGAUGGCAAAGAAAAGAAGAAGAUGGAAAAGAAGGAGUUGUGGUCGGUUGACGAAGGACUUCUUGCGCUUCGAUCCACUCCAAAGAUUCCCACCGGAUGCUCUCUUCCACCCACCCACACCGCUUUUUCAUCCGAUUUCAGCCAAAAGUGAAGGACAACCCAUUUAUAAAAUAAUGGAAUAGCUCGGACAUUUCUCAUCAAUAACAUAGAAGAAGCCAUUAAAAAUCGAAACAGAGAAUUUCAUUUACAAGUCUUUGUAUUCAUUCAAUUAAACGAGGCGACUAAGUUAAA